UGACACAUUAUUGCUUUCCAGGAAGUGGUAGGGAUGACAAAAAAGCAUAUUCCAACAGGGCUUUGGAGAGGAUAAAGUCCAAGAAGUACUGAAACCAAGAGUCACUUAAAUUUUUAAGAAUCUUCAUUUUAAAGAUAAGUAGUAGUCCACAUAGGAAUGCAUGGUAUUCAAUGAUGAUUUCCUACAUUUAUUCAAGGGAUAGGAACAUGCUAUUGUGAUCAGAAAGAAAAAUCAAACAAAAAGAAGAGGCCAAAGGAAAGGAUAUGGUCAGAAAAAAAAAUCAAACAAAAAGAAGAAGGGAGACAAAUUGGAGUGAUAUCCAACUAAUCAGAAGCUGGAUGUAGCUGAAGGACUUCUUGUUCUAAUUUAUCUGGCUGUGUCUUCACUGAGCGGAAGUAUGCUGACUGUUUUACAUGUGGUAGCUACAAAAAUCUCAUAAAAUGUAGAGCAGGAUGC
rnacentral:lncRNA from 10 species